AAUUUCGACUUCUAUUCUUUUUUGUUUCUUCUUCUAUUUUGACCGAAUAAAAUAUGAGUGUGAAACAUGAAACCAAAAACUUAGAGCUGAACGGAAGUGCCAAAAUAAAAAAUGUGUCUAAAUUGAUUUUGUUUUUUAGAAGUUGUGUGAGUUGAUUUUGUUUUUUAGAAGUUGUGUGAGACGUCAAUUUUCUAAGGAUUAGUCUUAAUUGACAUAAGAACAUGACGUAGCUAGUUCAUAAAAUCAAGAAAUGCAAACAAAAACAUAAAGGGUUCGAUAACAUGAUGAAGUUAUAGGUUACGGUGACAAUGAGGAUUUUGUAUCGAACUGAAGUCUUUGCUGUGGUAGAGAUGACGAGAAGAUUAGUAUUCGAUCAGGGUGGCUGAAAGGACUCUGUUUUUAUGGAACAAUAGUCACAUUGAGAACCUAAUAAAAAAGAACCUGAUUUUGCCGAUUAUAUUUCCUGCGCUGGAGAGAAAUUCAAGAAACCAUUGGAAUCAGCAUGUACAAAACUUGACACAAAACGUCCGAAAGAUCUUCUUGGAUGCUGACCCUGAGCUGUUGAGGAAUGUUUGCUUAAAUUUCAA